rnacentral:rRNA from 1 species
AUUGAACGCUGGCGGCAUGCCUUACACAUGCAAGUCGAACGGCAGCACGGGAGCUUGCUCCUGGUGGCGAGUGGCGAACGGGUGAGUAAUAUAUCGGAACAUGCCCUGAAGUGGGGGAUAACGUAGCGAAAGUUACGCUAAUACCGCAUAUUCUGUGAGCAGGAAAGCAGGGGAUCGCAAGACCUUGCGCUUUGGGAGUGGCCGAUAUCGGAUUAGCUAGUUGGUGAGGUAAAAGGCUCACCAAGGCGACGAUCCGUAGCGGGUCUGAGAGGAUGAUCCGCCACACUGGGACUGAGACACGGCCCAGACUCCUACGGGAGGCAGCAGUGGGGAAUUUUGGACAAUGGGCGCAAGCCUGAUCCAGCCAUGCCGCGUGAGUGAAGAAAGGCCUCGGUUGUAAGUAGUCUUCGUCGGGUAGGAAGUAAGGAGACGACCUAACAACUAGACGUGUUGGUAGUGUACGGUAACCGGACCGACGUAACGAAAAGAACGAACCGGACCGUAACCUAACCG